rnacentral:rRNA from 1 species
CGCUGGCGGCGUGCUUAACACAUGCAAGUCGAACGAUGAUGACUGAAGCUUGCUUUGGUUUGAUUAGUGGCGAACGGGUGAGUAACACGUGAGUAACCUGCCCCUCACUUCGGGAUAACCAUUGGAAACGGUGGCUAAUACUGGAUAUGACACAUGGCUGCGUGGUCUGUGUGUGGAAAGAAUUUUGGUGGGGGAUGGGCUCGCGGCCUAUCAGCUUGUUGGUGGGGUGAUGGCCUACCAAGGCUUUGACGGGUAGCCGGCCUGAGAGGGCGACCGGCCACACUGGGACUGAGACACGGCCCAGACUCCUACGGGAGGCAGCAGUGGGGAAUAUUGCACAAUGGGGGAAACCCUGAUGCAGCGACGCCGCGUGGGGGAUGAAGGCCUUCGGGUUGUAAACCCCUUUCAGUAGGGAACAAGGCCAUGAUUGUUGUUGUGGUUGAGGGUACUUGCAGAAGAACCGCCGGCUAACUACGUGCCAGCAGCCGCGGUAAUACGUAGGGCGCAAGCGUUGUCCGGAAUUAUUGGGCGUAAAGAGCUCGUAGGCGGUUUGUCGCGUCUGCCGUGAAAACCCGAUGCUUAACAUCGGGCUUGCGGUGGGUACGGGCAGGCUAGAGUGCGGUAGGGGUGACUGGAAUUCCUGGUGUAGCGGUGGAAUGCGCAGAUAUCAGGAGGAACACCGAUGGAGAAGGCAGGUCACUGGGCCGUUACUGACGCUGAGGAGCGAAAGCAUGGGGAGCGAACAGGAUUAGAUACCCUGGUAGUCCAUGCCGUAAACGUUGGGCACUAGGUGUGGGGAUUGUUCCACCAUUCCUGUACCGUAGAUAACGCAUUAAGUGCCCCGCCUGGGGAGUACGGCCGCAAGGCUAAAACUCAAAGGAAUUGACGGGGGCCCGCACAAGCGGCGGAGCAUGCGGAUUAAUUCGAUGCAACGCGAAGAACCUUACCAAGGCUUGACAUACACCGGAACGCUCAGAGAUGGGUAGGUCUUCGGACUGGUGUACAGGUGGUGCAUGGUUGUCGUCAGCUCGUGUCGUGAGAUG